CCCGCGGGCCGAGCCAUGAAGAACGAGCAAAGCUGCGUGGAGACAGCAGCAGAUCUCCGCGAGGUCAAAGAUCUGCUCCACAAACUGGCGCGCGGAGGAGAAGAUGCGCCGGAGAAGCAGGACGAGAGCAAAUACGUGGAUUUGGACUUAGUGGACGUGAAGAAAUGUGGCUUAAAACUGGAGAAAGACUGUGGAGCUGAUGAUAAAAACCAAAUGUCUGUCUUUGUUAACAGUGACGGCCCCGAAGCUUCGCGCGCAACGGAGCCAAAGUGUGCCAUAAAAACUGAGAUUGAAAGUGAGAAGAAGGAUUCUUUCAAAGAUGAGAAGUAUACUGAAGAUGUUGUGGGGGAUCUCUAUCAUCACAUAUCUUCAACAGAUCCUUCGGUCGUUAAAGCAAAGUCAGAGGAUUGCUUCAACUCCGGAAACAAAAGCGAGCGCGCCAUUACGCAACCAGAGGAAUCCCAAAGAGAAAAGGAGACAUACCCACAGAAAGAAGAGGAGUUACACUGCAGUGAUAAUUAUCUGAGCGGGAGGAGUGAGUCUGAUGACUUAGAGGAGGAUGAUGAUGUUAGUUUGGUGCUUUCAGAUGACAGUGGCCCGUGCGUAACGGAGGACGAGUCCCACUACAUUACCACUCACGAGAUCCAGCUCACGGAGCUCUCUGACCACGAGGGGGACUACGACCUCGGGGUGGGCUCCUCCACCAGCUGGGACAUCGAGGAUGACAACCAGCAGGUGUACUCUUUUGUCGAUUAUGCCUCAUUUGAUGGUGAUGGAGCGGCGGCGGGGCAGAGGGGGGACGGUCGCCAGCCGAGCACUCAGGACGCAGCAACAGUCAGCACUCUGCUUGAAAGUGAUCCGUGCGACUUGGCCAAGUUUACCAGCUCUGAUGAGAGUGUGUCAAAGCCCCCGCAGGAGCAGCAGCAGGGCAGUGGCAACAGUGCUGGGCAGAUCCACCUGUCAAUCAGAACCACUUCUCGAGCUAUAAAUGACCCCAGCAACAUCCAAGAACAGAAAAAUAUUCUUUAUCAUGCCAGGCGCGCCGGGGACGUGAGUCGCUAUGUGUUUAGGGGAGUUGAUGGGAAGGCUGAGACGCUGUGUGAUAGGGCGAAGUGUUUCAUAGCCGCGCCCGGACGCUUACACUUUGGCCGCAAAUUGAGGGGAAAAGAGGUCAACGAGCACUCCAGCGGUGCGUCCAGCGCUGUCAGCGAGCUGGACGACGCUGACAAGGAGGUGCGCAAUCUGACAGCCAAAGCCUUCAAGAGCCUGGCGUACCCUUACUUUGAUGCCAUUAAUUUCAGCACCUCCAGCGAGUCCUCUGCAUCAGAGCAUGGCUUGGGGAUCAACAGAUGGUCCACGUUUGUCGACCUGAAAUAUGGCAACAUGUCACGGGGACUGGACCCCAGUGUAGUUUCACAACAAAACCCAACGGCAUCUUUUGAAAUAGCCAACAAUGUAGACAGCAGAGGGUAUAAAGGUAUGGCACUUGCAAGCAUCAAACCGGCCACCAACAAGAUCUUCACCCUGAAUGGGAAUCCCCACAGUGCGUCGUCAUCAAAGAAAAUCGAGCUGAUGGGGAAAUUCAGUCAGGGCCACAGUGGGGUGAUCAGACUAACAGAGACUCUGAAUUUCCGCUGUAAUGUCAAAUCUGGAAUGUCUGAGGGAGAAAGGCGCACUAACUUUGCACAAAAUACUGAAGGAUCACGUUCCACAGAUGAAGUUACCAACAGUUUGCCAAGCAGCCAGAGGAGAGGGGCCAGCAAGCCUCCCUCUAACACCAUGGAAGACACACACAAGAAGGCCAUAUUCGCCUCCAGCUUGCUCAAAAAUGUGAUUUCUAAAAAGAUGCAGUUCGAGCAGGAGCGCAAGAUGGAACGAGGGGAGAUAUGUGAGCCGCAUCAGACGCCUUCCCCGAGCUUUGUGCACCCAGACAGCGACAGCUACAGGGGGAAGGGGAGCAGGGAGCUGCACAGACAGAGCUCCAAGUUUUCAGAGUGCAGCUCUGACUACGCCAUAAUGUGCGUGGAUGACUUGGGGGACUUCAUUGACAGCGGCUCAUGUGAUACUAAGAGCGACUCCCGGAGACAGGACCUGGCUGCUCCCGCACCAGAAACUAAUUUGGAGACGACAAAUGAAGCUGGAAUCGAUACUAAAAGAGGCGCAUUGGAAGCGUCCAAAAGCACGCUGCUUCGCAGCCAAAAUAGCGCAUUCAGAUGUUGGAAGGAAGGGGAGGUAGAGUUUCAAAAGGAUCAUAAAAACGAUAAAACUCUAGGGGACAGGCAGCCUUCAGCUCGCAACAAAGAAGGCGAGGAGGAUACGUACUCGUCGGGCGGCAACAAACUGAUUAAAAUGUCACAUUUGUUUGUGCCAAGUAUCCAACUGCUGUCAAGUGACGGAGAAGAGGGGCAGCAGCUGCAGGGCAGGAGUUAUUCUCCAUGUGAGGACAGAGAAGGAAAACUGUGCUCGGACAACACACUUUACAUCGCAGACUCCAGGAGUGUGGUCACAUCGAAAUCUCCAGAAAUCAAAAUUAACUUAAGGAGCGUCAGAGACAAUAAAACUGAGCCGUUCAGCGUCUCCAAGCUGCGCGCUCCUAAUAUAGGCUGUAACCCAGCCAGCCUCAGAACAGAUGACUUCAAAUGCCAGGCUCUGACUGCAGCUCUGAAGGGUGAGUGCUCGGAUAAAGUGCCGCAUUUCAUGGUGAGAGACAUUAGAGAUAAUAAAGGGAAGCUGCAGACGCCCAUUCACCAAGUGAGAGACGUGCGUAAACUCGUUAAAAGCUCCUACCACUUUGUUUCUCUGGAUAACAACGAAAACAAAUCCGCUGCUGACAACCAAUCAGAGCAGAAGAAGCAAAUGCCCUAUCGAAAUCUCAACUCUGUUUCCCCUAUAGUGAUAAAAUGUCAGUCUGUGAACACAAACAGUAACGGGAAACAAGAGGUAUCACAACAAGAGCCGCUGGACUUGGACAGGUCGUCUCCAGAGGGCGCUGUAAGUGCUCAUCUGCAAAGGGCAGCAGGGAGAGCACCAAACACCUCUUCAGAGGGGGGCACUGGGUUGAAAGUCGAGAGCAAAGCAGCUUCAAAGAGGCAGGAGAAACCAUCAGAUAUCACAGAGAAGAAACCUGAAUCAAAGAUGUCAAAUCUGGGGGCUUUGGAGAAACUCCAGGCUGCUGUGAAAACCAUGGAGCAGCUCUACGUGUUUGAAAGGAAUGAAUGGAAGAGGAAGAACGAGCCCCGGCCUCUGAUGGACAGCCAUGUUCUCUCAAUGAUCACCAGCGAGGGGCUCGGAGUACCGGAGGACGAAGAAGCCAGAGGGUCCAUCAUGGAGAGGCCGGCCAGAAGAGACUCCUACCCCAACGCUGACAGGACUCCACCAGCAGUAGCGGCGUCCCCCAACCUGCUGAGGCGAGACGACAGAGCUUUUCAGACUCACGGCAGCCGUGAUGACAAGCUAUUUGCCAAGUCCAUGAAAGCCACCGCCAACGCCACAGGGAACAAGAACAUGUUUAGUCCCAGCUCCAACCUUAAGCCUUCAACAACAAAGACGCCCCAGCCAAACACCACCACACAAUCACCCUUUAACACCAAAAGCUUCACCCCAAAGUCCCCCAAACUGCCUGUGUCCUUAAAGAGCAAGCAGACGAAGCAGGGUGGACACGAGGAAGCUGAAUUUAGGAGGACAGAAAAGUCCUUCCAAGACUUCUUGGGUACCGACAACGAGAACUACUUUACUAUCCCGCUCAAGUCUCCUGCUGGCCCCAACAAACCGGUCUCUUCUGCUGAUAAAACCUCAGUGUACACAUUCACCCCAAUGACACAUCCAGCGGCACCUUCAGGACAGUCUGGUUCCAGCACCAAGAGCCAUGGAGACCGCAACCAGUCCCCGAAACGCACCAGCAUUGUCAUGGAGACACGAUCACCUGAGAUCCCUCCAGCAACCAUCUACCACUCCAUGCCUCUGGGUAUGACUGCGAAUCAGCCACAGUUGUACUGCUUUUCACCUGCAAUCACACCAGCUCCCACUCUGGACCCGUUCCAGGCCACCCAGAGAAAGAUGCUCCUGGAUCCCACUACUGGGAACUACUACCUGGUGGACACUCCUGUGCAGCCAACCACAAAGCGUCUCUUUGACCCUGAAACAGGCCAGUAUGUGGACGUGCCAAUGCCGCAGCCUCCUAUGACCCCAGUUCCCAUGCCAAUGUCACCUUUGGCGCUCAGUCCAGGAGCGUUUGGACACACCUACAUGAUCUACCCGGGCUUCAUGCCAACGCCAUCAGUGAUCCCAGCGAGGACGCUGGUGCAGUCCCAAAUGUCGAUGCACUCAGAGGCUGACAGCGUGGACAAAGCAUCGUCUCAGCAGACAGAGGGUCUGUACAUGGAGAGUCCUUUCUACAUGGCGACAGGAAAGUCUCCCCACAUGGCGUCUGGGAUUCAACAGCAUGUUGGUGCCCCCCCUGCCGCCACCAGCAGGCCAAUGCAGGGCUUCUCCAGCGCCAAGCAGCCGGUCAUCAGCAUCACCUCCCAGCAAGGGCCCCGGAUCAUCGCCCCGCCCUCGUUUGAUGGGACCACCAUGAGCUUUGUGGUGGAGCACAGAUGAGUGGCAGCCUACCUGGACAGGGCUGAGCUCUGAGAGGAUGCUGGACUUCUGGAUCUCUUCGAUCUCAUAUGUUUUAUAUAUUUAUUUUUCGCUCUGGAGAUGAUGGAUCAAGGCUGCUGAGUUAAAGGCCUCAUUCACAUCGUGCUUCAGAUUAUGGAUCUGCUGGACAGUCCAUCCUUCUUCAAAAUUCUGCUGAAAAUGUUCCUCCUCUGAUUUUAAGUUGAUUUAACUUUUUCUUUCAUGUUCGGAAACUUAGUCUUUUAUUCUUUUUUUCAUGAUAACUGCUGUGUCAAAGUUUCAAUAGAAGAGAGCCACUCUUGUGAAAGUGUAUUAGUGUUUUUUUAUCAAAUGUCUCAAAGUAGGAGGUAAUAUAUAUUCACAUUGAUUAUAAAGGGUGUGUUGGUGUUUACAGGAAGCUUUAUGAGCUGUCCUGCAGCCAGCAACCAGGGGGAGAUCUAAAAUAGCUGGCUGUUCACUGAGGCUGUUUUCGAAACUGCCUGCUACA